rnacentral:rRNA from 1 species
UACAGAGGGGGCAAGCGUUGUUCGGAAUUACUGGGCGUAAAGGGCGCGUAGGCGGCCUGCUAAGUCGAACGUGAAAUCCCUGGGCUCAACCCGGGAACUGCGUCCGAUACUGGCGGGCUUGAAUCCGGGAGAGGGAUGCGGAAUUCCAGGUGUAGCGGUGAAAUGCGUAGAUAUCUGGAGGAACACCGGUGGCGAAGGCGGCAUCCUGGACCGGCAUUGACGCUGAGGCGCGAAAGCUAGGGGAGCAAACGGG